UUUUAUGUCGUUUUUGUUACUAAACAUAACGUUUGUGAGAUUCAUCCAUAUUGUGCAUAGUUGUAGUUUCUUGACAUUUGGUCUCAUUGUUCUACAAUAUUCUGUUGUUUAAAUAUGUGAUUUUUCUAUCCAUUCUACUGAAGAGGACAUUUGGGUUGGUUUGGUUUGUGACCAUGUGCGUAGUGUUGCUGUGAACAUUCUUGCACAUGCCAGAUCUUAUUUUAAAAGUCUGAUGCAGGGCUUCCCAUCAGUGGUCUAGCCCUCUUUAUGAGGAAGAUGGUUCACUCCCAAGAUUAACAUUUUUGGAGUUAUGAUACCCCAUUUUUAUUUCAUUAGAGCACCUACUCCUCCCAAAAUGAUGUAUAGCAUAAAUCUUUCUUGAUACAAAUUAACCUAGUUUAAAGGCAUGGCAAUGUCAUCAGCAUCUACUCAUCUCUGUGUGACCACAGCACCUUGUCCCGUGCUCUGCACAAAGAAAGCGUUUAUAACACUUGCUUAGUUGAAUUGUUUAAGAACAAGUCCCCACAUCCCCACCACCUCCACAAGUCUUCAUCUUCCCCAAGCAAAAUACCAUAGCUCUCUUAACCAUUCUUUACAGCAGUGGUACUCAAUUCUUUUGUUCUAGUAUUUCCAGGGCAAAAUAAUUUUUUAAAACUCUACACCCAUCCACAUUUUUAAGCUGGCAU
rnacentral:lncRNA from 1 species